rnacentral:rRNA from 1 species
GUCUACGGCCAUGCCACCCUGAACAAGCCCAAUGUCUGAUCUUGGAAGCUAAGCAGGGUUGGGUCCGGUUAGUACUUGGAUGGGAGACCACCUAGGAAGACCAAGUGCCUCAGGCA